UUGUAUUUACAAAUAUUACAAUAAAUCCAUAUAAUAUAUUUUUUUAAACAUAGAUCGCGCCAAUUUGACUUCAAUUUUUUUACUCAUGUGGUUAAAGAAACCAACUUCAGGCAAGCAAAGCUGUUGCAUUGUAAAGCGCUUCCUAGAUGGUCAAUUUAAUUGCGCAAUAUUAAAAUAUUGUAAAAUUCGACUUUUAUAGUUACUAUUGAAGAUUGCGCAACGAUUUUUAAUGAACAAAAUUAUUAACCGACUUUCCAAAAAGGAGGUGGUUCUUAAUAAGUAUGUUUGUAUCUAUUAAUCGUAAUAUUGCGCAAUUAUAUAAACGGUCGCUGUCCCGUGUGUAUUAUUUCGUGUUCACGGAGACCGCCGCGCUCUAUAAGGCGUGUGUUAGACGUUCAAUUACACCAACCGUCUAGGCAUCGCUCGCAGUGCUAAGAGCCCUGCCUCUCUAGGACGCCAUGGCGACGUCGCCAGCGGCUCAGGUCUGGCUACUUCCAGAAGCAGGAUGCCAGCAUCCAAAUGUCGCCAAGUCGCUGAAGAAAUUGCACGUUAACUGGCGACCACAUUGGCGACUGUGUGAGGGAGGUGCGCUUUACCGUGUACAUUAUAGUAACAACUGUGGCCACGUCGCCAAGCUGCCACGGUAGCCAGAAGCCUCGUAGGGAACUGUAGCUCUUGGCCACGCCUCUAAUUUGGCGACGUUGCCAAACCGUCGCCAAGUGAGUUAGGUUCCAUACAUUUCAAUACUAACUGCUUGGAUCUGCUGUUAGAGGCCUGCUAAUUGCAGGGCUCUAACAGUAUAGUUCACUCUUGCAGCGUGACAGUCUUAGCGAGCAAAGCUGUUGCAUUGUAAAGCGCUUCCUAGAUGGUCAAUUUAAUUGCGCAAUAUUAAAAUAUUGUAAAAUUCGACUUUUAUAGUUACUAUUGAAGAUUGCGCAACGAUUUUUAAUGAACAAAAUUAUUAACCGACUUUCCAAAAAGGAGGUGGUUCUUAAUAAGUAUGUUUGUAUCUAUUAAUCGUAAUAUUGCGCAAUUAUAUAAACGGUCGCUGUCCCGUGUGUAUUAUUUCGUGUUCACGGAGACCGCCGCGCUCUAUAAGGCGUGUGUUAGACGUUCAAUUACAUCAACCGUCUAGGCAUCGCUCGCAGCGCUAAGAGCCCUGCCUCACUAGGACGCCAUGGCGACGUCGCCAGCGGCUCAGGUCUGGCUACUUCUGGCAUCCAAAUGUCGCCAAGUCGAGUGGCCAUGGCCUCUCGAUAGACAAUUGUUUACGUCGUCGCUGAAGAAAUUGCACGUUAACGACUGUGUGAGGGAGGUGCGCUUUACCGUGUACAUAAGAGCUCUACCUCACUAGGACGCCAUGGCGACGUCGCCAGGGGCACAGGUCUGGCUACUUCUGGCAUCCGAAUGUCGCCAAGUCGAGUGGCCAUGGCGUCUCGACAGUCAAUUGUUUACGUCGUCACUGAAGAAAUUGCACGCUGACUGGCGACCACAUUGGCGACUGUGUGAGGGAGGUGCGCUUUACCGUGUACAUUAUAGUGGCAACUGUGGCCACGUCGCCAAGCUGCCACGGUAGCCAGAAGCCACGUAGGGAACUGUAGCUCGUGGCCACGCCUCUAAUUUG